CAAGAUGUCCCAUCUCUUUUUGAUCAUCCAACGAAGAAGGCCGGGGAAAUGCUUCAAGAGAUAAAGUGGAAAUGAAGACUCGUCAUCCAUCGACCAGAUUGGAUCAGAUUUCGAGCUAGUAAUCUCCAAAGGGUAAUUGCUUCUUAUCAGAGACUCGUCUGCGCACAGAAUGGGGUCAUAGCUGCAUGGAGAUUUCUUUAUCUGAAUCAAGCAUCUCAUGAUGAGCGGUAGGAGAUACAUGACAUAUCACGAUGCAGUUGAGAUUGAAUAAAAUUGAUAUCGCAUGUAAUAAUCAUUCAGCCGGACAGCUCCGGCCAUCAAGUUCAAUCACCAGGAGGUGAGAGAUGAUGGGCCACUCCUCGUCAGCUUCAGGCUGAUGCCGCCGGCUCAAUUCCCCACAUCCUACACCAAAUUUUCUGAUUAAAGUGAGGUGACAUACUCCCUGCGGUAUGAAUGAGAAUUUCCAAUAAUAAAACAAAAAGAUCUGGACCGUGCUCGUUGCGUUGCUGCCGUCACAGCUGCCACC
rnacentral:lncRNA from 1 species